rnacentral:rRNA from 1 species
GGCGUGCUUAACACAUGCAAGUCGAACGGAAAGGCCCUGCUUUUGUGGGGUGCUCGAGUGGCGAACGGGUGAGUAACACGUGAGUAACCUGCCCUUGACUUUGGGAUAACUUCAGGAAACUGGGGCUAAUACCGGAUAGGAGCUCCUGCUGCAUGGUGGGGGUUGGAGAGUUUCGGCGGUUGGGGAUGGACUCGCGGCUUAUCAGCUUGUUGGUGGGGUAGUGGCUUACCAAGGCUUUGACGGGUAGCCGGCCUGAGAGGGUGACCGGCCACAUUGGGACUGAGAUACGGCCCAGACUCCUACGGGAGGCAGCAGUGGGGAAUAUUGCACAAUGGGCGGAAGCCUGAUGCAGCAACGCCGCGUGCGGGAUGACGGCCUUCGGGUUGUAAACCGCUUUCGCCUGUGACGAAGCGUGAGUGACGGUAAUGGGUAAAGAAGCACCGGCUAACUACGUGCCAGCAGCCGCGGUGAUACGUAGGGUGCGAGCGUUGUCCGGAUUUAUUGGGCGUAAAGGGCUCGUAGGUGGUUGAUCGCGUCGGAAGUGUAAUCUUGGGGCUUAACCCUGAGCGUGCUUUCGAUACGGGCUGACUUGAGGAAGGUAGGGGAGAAUGGAAUUCCUGGUGGAGCGGUGGAAUGCGCAGAUAUCAGGAGGAACACCAGUGGCGAAGGCGGUUCUCUGGGCCUUUCCUGACGCUGAGGAGCGAAAGCGUGGGGAGCGAACAGGCUUAGAUACCCUGGUAGUCCACGCUGUAAACGGUGGGUACUAGGUGUGGGGUCCAUUCCACGGGUUCCGUGCCGUAGCUAACGCUUUAAGUACCCCGCCUGGGGAGUACGGCCGCAAGGCUAAAACUCAAAGGAAUUGACGGGGCCCCGCACAAGCGGCGGAGCAUGCGGAUUAAUUCGAUGCAACGCGUAGAACCUUACCUGGGUUUGACAUGGAUCGGGAGUGCUCAGAGAUGGGUGUGCCUCUUUUGGGGUCGGUUCACAGGUGGUGCAUGGCUGUCGUCAGCUCGUGUCGUGAGAUGUUGGGUUAAGUCCCGCAACGAGCGCAACCCUUGUUCACUGUUGCCAGCACGUUAUGGUGGGGACUCAGUGGAGACCGCCGGGGUCAACUCGGAGGAAGGUGGGGAUGACGUCAAGUCAUCAUGCCCCUUAUGUCCAGGGCUUCACGCAUGCUACAAUGGCUGGUACAGAGAGUGGCGAGCCUGUGAGGGUGAGCGAAUCUCGGAAAGCCGGUCUCAGUUCGGAUUGGGGUCUGCAACUCGACCUCAUGAAGUCGGAGUCGCUAGUAAUCGCAGAUCAGCAACGCUGCGGUGAAUACGUUCCCGGGGCU